UGGGGAAUUUUUCGCAAUGGGGGAAACCCUGACGAAGCAACGCCGCGUGGAGGAUGAAGGCCUUCGGGUCGUAAACUCCUGUCGACCGGGAAGAAUGCGCCCGACCUAAUACGUCGAAGCGUUGACUGUACCGGUGGAGGAAGCCACGGCUAACUCUGUGCCAGCAGCCGCGGUAAUACAGAGGUGGCAAGCGUUGUUCGGAAUUACUGGGCGUAAAGGGCGCGUAGGUGGCCCGCCAAGUCCCGUGUGAAAGCCCCCGGCUCAACCGGGGAACGGCGCGGGAAACUAGCAGGCUUGAGUUCGGGAGAGGGAAGCGGAAUUCCGGGUGUAGCGGUGAAAUGCGCAGAUAUCCGGAGGAACACCGGUGGCGAAGGCGGCUUCCUGGACCGACACUGACGCUGAGGCGCGAAAGCUAGGGGAGCAAACGG
rnacentral:rRNA from 1 species